GGGUUUAUAGUUCAAUGGUAAGAACAUUCUGCUCAUAACAGAAGAGUUAUAGGUUCAAAUCCUGUUAAACCCA
rnacentral:tRNA from 1 species